AGGAGACUUCGGUCUCUGAGUAGAGCGGCGCACGGGUGAGUAACGCGUGGAUGAUCUACCCUUGAGUUCGGGAUAACGGUGCGAAAGCGCCGCUAAUACCGUAUAACAAUCCAUUUCAUCGUGGGUUCAAAGCAGGCCUCUUCAUGAAAGCUUGCGCUUGGGGAUGAGUCCGCGUCCCAUUAGCUUGUUGGCGGGGUAACGGCCCACCAAGGCUACGAUGGGUAGCUGGUCUGAGAGGAUGAUCAGCCACACUGGAACUGAAACACGGUCCAGACUCCUACGGGAGGCAGCAGUGGGGAAUAUUGCGCAAUGGGGGAAACCCUGACGCAGCGACGUCGUGUGAGGGAAGAAGGCCUUCGGGUCGUAAACCUCUGUCAGAAGGGAAGAACAUCCGGGAGUCGAACAGCCUCCCGGCCUGACGGUACCUUCAGAGGAAGCGCCGGCUAACUCCGUGCCAGCAGCCGCGGUAAUACGGAGGGCGCAAGCGUUAAUCGGAAUCACUGGGCGUAAAGCGUGCGUAGGCUGCUUGAUAAGUCAGACGUGAAAUCCCUCGGCUCAACCGGGGAACUGCGUUUGAUACUGUCGAGCUAGAGUCCU
rnacentral:rRNA from 1 species